rnacentral:ncRNA from 1 species
AAUAUACUGCCACCGGGUAGGAAAUGCAAAGCAUUCGCGGCACAUCGUUAGGUCUUAGAAGAUGUGUACACGGAUGCUUUUUUUGAU